rnacentral:tRNA from 2 species
UCCCCGAUAGCUCAAUCGGCAGAGCGAGCGACUGUUAAUCGCUAGGUUGUUGGUUCGAUUCCAACUCGGGGAG